UACAGAGGGUGCGAGCGUUAAUCGGAGUUACUGGGCGUAAAGGGCGCGUAGGUGGAAAAUUAAGUUGGAUGUAAAAUUCCUGGGCUUAACCUGGGGAGGUCAUUCAAUACUGGUUAUCUAGAGUGCUGUAGAGGGUAGUGGAAUUUCCGGUGUAGCGGUGAAAUGCGUAGAGAUCGGAAGGAACAUCAGUGGCGAAGGCGGCUACCUGGACAGACACUGACACUGAGGCGCGAGAGCGUGGGGAGCGAACAGG
rnacentral:rRNA from 1 species